UUAAAUUUCAUUGUACAUUGG
rnacentral:piRNA from 1 species